rnacentral:tRNA from 1 species
GCCUGUGUAGCUCAGUGGUAGAGCACUUCCUUGGUAAGGAAGAGGUCCCGAGUUCAAUCCUCGGCACCGGCUC